AUGCUCUUUGCGGAUGAUGUGGUGCUAGUUGACGAUAGUCGGAUGGGGGUAAAUAGGAAGUUAGAGUUAUGGAGACAAACCUUGGAAUCGAAAGGGUUUAGGCUUAGUAGAACUAAAACCGAGUACAUGAUGUGCGGUUUCAGUACUACUAGCUGUGAGGAGGAGGAGGUUAGCCUUGAUGGCCAGGUGGUACCUCGGAAGGACACCUUUCGGUAUUUGGGGUCAAUGUUGCAGGAGGAUGGGGGUAUUGAUGAAGAUGUGAACCAUCGAAUCAAAGCCGGAUGGAUGAAGUGGCGCCAAGCUUCUGGCAUUCUCUGUGACAAGAGAGUGCCACAAAAGCUAAAAGGCAAGUUCUACAGGACGGCGGUUCGACCCGCAAUGUUGUAUGGCGCGGAGUGUUGGCCGACUAAAAGGCGACAUGUUCAACAGUUAUGUGUGGCGGAGAUGCGUAUGUUGAGAUGGAUGUGUGGCCACACGAGGAAGGAUCGAGUCCGGAAUGAUGAUAUACGAGAUAGAGUUGGGGUAGCACCAAUUGAGGAGAAGCUUGUCCAACAUCGUUUGAGAUGGUUUGGGCAUAUUCAGCGCAGGCCUCCAGAAGCUCCAGUGCAUAGCGGACGGCUAAAGCGUGCGGAGAAUGUCAAGAGAGGGCGGGGUCGACCGAUUUUGACAUGGGAGGAGUCCGUUAAGAGAGACCUGAAGGAUUGGAGUAUCGACAAAGAGCUAGCUACGGACAGGGGUGCGUGGAAGCUUGCUAUCCAUGUGCCAGAGCCAUGA
rnacentral:rRNA from 1 species